rnacentral:rRNA from 1 species
GACGAACGCUGGCGGCGUGCCUAAUACAUGCAAGUAGAACGCACAGUUUAUACCGUAGCUUGCUACACCAUAGACUGUGAGUUGCGAACGGGUGAGUAACGCGUAGGUAACCUGCCUGGUAGCGGGGGAUAACUAUUGGAAACGAUAGCUAAUACCGCAUAAUAUUGAUUAUUGCAUGAUAAUUGAUUGAAAGAUGCUAUUGCAUCACUACCAGAUGGACCUGCGUUGUAUUAGCUAGUAGGUGAGGUAACGGCUCACCUAGGCGACGAUACAUAGCCGACCUGAGAGGGUGAUCGGCCACACUGGGACUGAGACACGGCCCAGACUCCUACGGGAGGCAGCAGUAGGGAAUCUUCGGCAAUGGACGAAAGUCUGACCGAGCAACGCCGCGGGAGUGAAGAAGGUUUUCGGAUCGUAAAGCUCUGUUGUAAGAGAAGAACGGGUGUGAGAGUGGAAAGUUCACACUGUGACGGUAGCUUACCAGAAAGGGACGGCUAACUACGUG